GAGGCCAUUGAGAUGGCUCAGUAGAUAGAAACACUUGCCAACCAGUCAAUCUAAUAACUUUGACCCCUAAACCUGUAAAGCACAGAUUUCCACAUACCCAUGGCGCACACUCAUGUUAUGUACAUUUAAAAAAAAUGGAGUAAGAUAGAGGCAGACACUCUGCCUCUGCACACAUGUACAUACAAAGGUUUGACCUUGAAAAGGAAUGAAAUCUGAGACAAAUGAGUAUAUAUAAGCCUGAUACUCCUAAACAUUUUUUAUUAUACCCUGGUUUGUUUUUGUGUUUGUAUACACAUAUAUGCCACAGUGUGUAUGUGUGGGGGCAUUAGAGGAUAACUUCAGGAGUCGGUUCUCUCCUUCUACUCUGGUCCUUGACCUUGAACUAAGGCUGUCAGAUUGACAGCAGAUGCCUUUACCCACUGAGCCACCUUGCUGGCUACCAGGGCAAUCAUAACUGAUAAAGUUGUAUUUAAUAAGGCUGCAGGUUGCAUGCAUACUACAGUUUGAUAAUUAAAUGAGUGAUUGGACACCGGCUGCUCGCUGUUGUAAUGGAAAUUGUUUUUUCCCCAAGACAGGGUAUUUCUGUGUAGCUCUGGAUGUCCUUCCUGGAACUCAAUCUGUAGGUCAGGCUGACCUUGAACUCAGAGACCCAUUUACCCAUGUGAAUGGAGGGAUUAAAGUGCUGGGAUUAAGGCGGGCGUGGUGGCACACACCUUUAAUCCCAGCACUCAGGAGGAAGAGGCAGGUGGAUUUCUGAGUUUGAGGCCAGCCUGGUCUACAAAGUGAGUUCCAGGACAGCCAGGGCUACACAGAGAAACCCUGUCUCGAAAAACC
rnacentral:lncRNA from 1 species